UGGCAGGUACAGAGGGAUGCUACCGGGCGACCGGAUGCGGAUCUCGAAAGCCUGUCCCAGUUCGGACUGGAGUCUGCAACCCGACUCCACGAAGUUGGAUUCGCUAGUAAUCGCGCAUCAGCCAUGGCGCGGUGAAUACGUUCCCGGGCCUUGUACACACCGCCCGUCAAGCCAUGGGAGCCGGGGGCGCCUGAAGUCCGGGACCGCGAGGACCGGCCUAGGGCGAAACUGGUAACUGGGGCUAAGUCGUAACAAGGUACC
rnacentral:rRNA from 1 species